rnacentral:rRNA from 1 species
CCUACGGGACGCAGCAGUGGGGGAUAUUGCACAAUGGGGGAAACCCUGAUGCAGCGACGCCGCGUGAGCGAUGAAGUAUUUCGGUAUGUAAAGCUCUAUCAGCAGGGAAGAAAAUGACGGUACCUGACUAAGAAGCCCCGGCUAACUACGUGCCAGCAGCCGCGGUAAUACGUAGGGGGCAAGCGUUAUCCGGAUUUACUGGGUGUAAAGGGAGCGUAGACGGCAGUGCAAGUCUGAAGUGAAAGCCCGGGGCUCAACUCCGGGACUGCUUUUGAAACUGUGUUGCUAGAUUGCAGGAGAGGUAA